rnacentral:rRNA from 1 species
UACUCCCCAGGCGGAGUACUUCCUGACUACCGUGCGGGACUGGAGUUGUCUAAAGAGCCUCCCGAGUAAGGAGAGGGCAAGGUUGGUGCCAGCCCCCGCGGGAAAACCAGCUCUUCAUUGUUGGCCGGACUAUCACUGGGCUUAAAGAGUCCGUAUCCGGUUUAGCAAGUCCUUGGUAAAAUCUGGCACCUUAACUGUCAGUACUCUAGGGAAACUACUUUACUAGAGGGCGGGAAAGGUCUGGGGAACUUCAGGGGUAGGGGUGGAAUCCUAUAAUCCUUGGGGGACCACCAGUGGCGAAAGCGCCAAACUGGAACGCGCCUGACGGUGAGGGACAAAAGCCAGGGGAGCAAACCGGAUUAAAUACCCGGGUAGUCCUGGCCGUAAACAAUGCCUGCGAGGUGUUGGUGAGGCCACAAGCCGCAUCAUUGCCGUAAGGAAACCGAUAAGCACCCCGCCGGGGGAGUACGGUCGCAAGGCUGAAACUUAAAGGAAUUGGCGGGGGAGCAC